rnacentral:rRNA from 1 species
AUUGAACGCUGGCGGCAGGCCUAACACAUGCAAGUCGAACGAGUGGCGGACGGGUGAGUAAUGCCUGGGAAACUGCCCGAUGGAGGGGGAUAACGACUGGAAACGGUAGCUAAUACCGCAUACCAUCGGAUGAGCCCAUGUGGGAUUAGUUAGUGGGUGGGGUAAGGGCCCACCAAGGCGACGAUCCCUAGCUGGUCUGAGAGGAUGAAAAGCCAAACAGGGACGGAGACACGGCCCGGACUCCUACGGGGGGAAGCAGUGGGGAAUAUUGCGAAAUGGGGGCAAGCCUGACGCAGCAAAGACGAGUGAAUGAAGAAGGACUUAGGGGUGUAAAGUUCUUUCGGUGACGAGGCGUUAAUGAAAGAAGAAGCACAGGCUAAAUCCGUGCCAGCAGCCGCGGUAAUAC